rnacentral:misc_RNA from 1 species
AACGCACGAGACCUGCGGACCUGCGGAGGGAUCAUUACAGAGUUGAAAAACUCCCAACCCUUUGUGAACCUACCUCUUUGACUGUUGCUUCGGCAGGCGGCCCCAGGGCGGGGCUGUAGCCUGAUUCUCAGGUGCCUGCCGGAGGUAUCAAACUCUAUUUUUAAUAGUAACGUCUGAGUAAAUAUUACAAAUAAGUCAAAACUUUUAGCAAUGGAUCUCU